GAGGUAACACGGCUCAAUUAAUGCAUAUACACCCUUACAUAACAGCCAGGUGACUGGUUUGGACAAGAAAAAAAGUUGUCCAGUGAGCUUGCAACAAAUUACAGAAGUAUAGACUAAUCUCUCAUUUUGUUAAAUAGAAAGUGAGAAUGGAGAAUUUACUGUUCUUUGAUAAAAGCAUUACAAAAAGAAACAAAUAAGUCCAGGCUAAGGUCACAAAAGGGAGUACCCAUCGCAUCAGCAAGCAAUAAAGAGCUCAUUCCCAUAAACAUGAGGUCAUCGAGACCAAAGGCUCUCCUUGGUGCGCAUCAUACUUGGCUACAAUCACCGCAAAAAGAUAGAACCACCGCUAAUAAGAAAAAACUAGAAAACGCAUAUAAGAGCAACCGUGACUGUCGAACCGUUGAAGCCUUCCAAGGAAUUCCUGCACGCAUGCUUAAAACCAUGCCUUUUGUAACUUUUAUCAAAACCAUGGUUUUGAAAUCCUCAACUCAUAACGGCAAACCACCCUGCUAUCCAAAUAAAGUAGAAAAUGAAAAAUCAAUCAAAAACUGUUGGUGUAAACAUUUCAUCAAUCACGACCAUUUUACCAAUAUUAAGAGAAGUAUAGACAUCAACGCACAAAUUGAAUAAGCUUGUGUAACAAGAUAGUAUAAGAAUUAAAUAAAAUAAGGUAUUUAAUUAAAAAAAAAAUCUGAUUACAGACAAUAGGAAUUUUUAUAUACUCCCUAGAAAAUGUCCAACCACGCGCUGCAACUGUUACCCCCGAUCAAAUGUUCCCACUAUAUUAUAGUUCCCAUAGCAUAUUCGAAUAGGUCAAUAAGAUGUUAGAAAGUUUCCCCACAUUAUUACCAGCACAUUCGAUGGUGCAAAAUAAGAGGGAAGCAUUUUAGCAUCAUAUACCUAUUCCAAUAGCAAUGAGAACUAUAACAUGGUGGAAACUAAACUUUCCACCAAAAUUGUAGUUGAUGAUGUUAAAUCCACUCCACGCAGGUAGUUUGUUUUUAUUUUUCCUAUCAAAGACAAAAUUGCUAUC
rnacentral:lncRNA from 1 species